CAGCAGCCACGGUAAUACGAGGGGGGCAAGCGUUAAUCGGAAUUACUGGGCGUAAAGCGUGCGUAGGCGGUUCGUUAAGUCUGUUGUGAAAGCCCCGGGCUCAACCUGGGAAUGGCAAUGGAUACUGGCGAGCUAGAGUGUGUCAGAGGAUGGUGGAAUUCCCGGUGUAGCGGUGAAAUGCGUAGAGAUCGGGAGGAACAUCAGUGGCGAAGGCGGCCAUCUGGGACAACACUGACGCUGAGGCACGAAAGCGUGGGGAGCAAACAGGAUUAGAUACCCCGGUAGUCCCUGUCUCUUAUAA
rnacentral:rRNA from 1 species